UACGUAGGGUGCAAGCGUUGUCCGGAAUUAUUGGGCGUAAAGAGCUCGUAGGCGGUCUGUCGCGUCUGCUGUGAAAACCCAGGGCUCAACCCUGGGCCUGCAUUCGAUACGGGCAGACUAGAGUGUGGCAGGGGAGACUGGAAUUCCCGGUGUAGCGGUGAAAUGCGCAGAUAUCGGGAGGAACACCGGUGGCGAAGGCGGUUCUCUGGGCCUGUACUGACGCUGAGGAGCGAAAGCGUGGGGAGCGAACAGG
rnacentral:rRNA from 1 species